AUUGUUAUUUCUUGUCAAGCUUAUUUCCUUGUUCCUCAAAACAGUCUUGACUCAACUAGUCAGAAGAGAAAUUUGUGAUUGAGUAAGAUCAGAGAGCUGAAGAAGUUUCAUUCAUGGCAGAAAAAUAUGGAAUUGGUGAGCCAAAAACAAACAGAGAGAGCAUGGACAAACCUAUCACAUUUACCAUAACAGGAGCCAUCAUAUCUAAAGAAGAUCUGCUUUUAUAUUUAGAGAUUUUCAAUGAAUUCCAAAAACAAGAUAAAAAGAAAUACAGAGUAAGCUGGGAUGAGAAAACACACAUGUUACGAAGCCUGUCUUUUACCUCCAAUGACUCGGGUUAUGAUUCCAGAAGAGCAACACAAAAUCUAGAUACAAGCUUAAGUGAAGCUGAAGAACAAACUUACGACAAUGAAGUUACAGAUACAUCACAAACAUAAAACUAGAACAUUUUACAAUAAGGUCCCAAUGAUCAAAAAUAUGAUUUACAGUUUAUUUUAGUAUUAAACAAUUGCAAUUAACUUUUACACAGAAAAACAUUGAAACAUUGUGGUGAAUAUCACUGGAUUCUUGAAGGUUCUCUUAGAGACGCGCAUUUCCAUAGUAAUAAUAAAUACCCAAAAUAUAUGGUUGCAUGGUCUCACACAAUACCUUCAGUAUUUAUAUUCUAAAUAUUAUUUAAUGUAAAUGCUAGACUAAGAAUAAGUGUGCAAGUUUGUCUGACUGUAAGUUUAAUAAACACAACACAAAACAAAACUGCAUGUAUUAUGUAAUAUUUACAUUAUUCUAUGUUCCUAAAUUAUCAUGUUCUUAUGUUGUUGUUUCUCAAUGUCAUGGUUCCACUAUCAUGUCAUGUUUUAUUCCUGUCUCGAGUGGAGCCAUGGCAUUGCCUGAUGGUUUUAUGUGGGAAAGACAUAGUUCUUUCUCGUGUUUCGUCAUUGUUCCCUACAUCUCGUUCCUCGUCAGCCUCUCCUCAGUGCUAAUCCCCAGCACCUGUUUCUCGUUAACGAUCCUUUGUCUGUUUCCCCUAUAAAGAGUCCUCGUGUUUCAUUGUCCUGUGCUCGUGCGUUGUACUUGUGUACCUGUUUCUGUUCGGUCUGUGUAUGCUGGUGUCGCUUGUCGGUCUCUUACCUGUUCUCCAAAGUUCCUGUUAUCCAUGCUGUGUUAUUAAGUCUAGUCUAGUUUAGUUAGUGUGUUUAUAUCAAGUGUUUGUUUUUGUAGUUAUAGUCAGUCAGUGUUCCUGUAUUCGCUAAUUUACCCUGUCCUGGUUUCCCCAUUGUGGGUUUUUGUUUUGCCUGUUUUGUAGUGUUCAGUAUUUAAUAAAUCUGUUAACCCCUUAA